GUAGGGAAUAUUGGACAAUGGGGGGAACCCUGAUCCAGCCAUGCCGCGUGGAGGAAGACUGCCCUCUGGGUUGUAAACUCCUUUUAUAUGGGAAGAACCGUCCUCAUUAAUGAGUGACCUGACGGUACCAUAGGAAUAAGCACCGGCUAACUCCGUGCCAGCAGCCGCGGUAAUACGGAGGGUGCAAGCGUUAUCCGGAUUCACUGGGAUUAAAGGGUGCGUAGGCGGAUAAAUAAGUCAGUGGUGAAAUCAACGGGCUCAGCCUGUUAACUACCAUUGAUACUGUGUAUCUUGAAUAUGAGAGAGGUAGGCGGAAUGUUGCAUGUAGCGGUGAAAUGCUUAGAUAUGCUACGGAACACCGAUUGCGAAGGCAGCUUACUAUUUCGUAAUUGACGCUGAGGCACGAAAGCGUGGGUAGCGAACAGGAUUAGAAACCCUGGUAGUCC
rnacentral:rRNA from 1 species